UACGGAGGGUGCAAACGUUGCUCGGAAUCAUUGGGCGUAAAGCGCACGUAGGCGGUCUGUUAAGUCGGAUGUGAAAGCCCUCGGCUCAACCGAGGAAGUGCAUACGAAACUGGCGGACUUGAAUAUGGAAGAGGGUCGCGGAAUUCCCGGUGUAGAGGUGAAAUUCGUAGAUAUCGGGAGGAACACCAGUGGCGAAGGCGGCGACCUGGGCCAAUAUUGACGCCGAGGUGCGAAAGCGUGGGGAGCAAACAGG
rnacentral:rRNA from 1 species